GGGACGGAGGGGGCCGAGCACGAGCGAUCCGAGCGUGGCCGCGCGCUCGGCCGGCGCGCGUGCGCGGUGGGCGCGCGGGAAGUGGAUGGGAACUGCCAUCAUGUUUUUGUGAAGUAUUACUGACCUCUGAAGAGAGUGUUUGAGGCCUUGCUACCCUUCACAGGAGAAAAAAGGAUAAAGAGGAUCAUUGUUCUAGAAGAAAAUGUAGUUUGAAAGAUACCAGGGACACUGGGCCCUGUUCWGCAUAGACUAGCAGUAUGAGGUUUCAUUAAGUAAGGAGCAGUGCUUUUCCACUGAGGGAUUGGCUCAGUGCCCUGCAUAGUUCUGCAAGAGUUAAGGAAAACACCCUGGUAGGAAGGAAAGCCAUAAAGGUGGAACAGGGUGUAAACCAAUAAGAAUGGAUGUCUGCAACAGGAAAAGAAAAGAAAGAGAGGUCUGAUUAAUACAGACAACUUCUGUGGCUGAAUUGAAUUUUCAGGGUAAAACCCAAUAUGAAGUAAAAUGAAAACAAAAGAGAGCAAUUUAGUGAGUAUAAAAUUAGAAGGAA